rnacentral:rRNA from 1 species
GACGAACGCUGGCGGCGUGCUUAACACAUGCAAGUCGAACGGAAAGGCCCUGCUGUUGUGGGGUGCUCGAGUGGCGAACGGGUGAGUAACACGUGAGUAACCUGCCCUUGACUUUGGGAUAACUUCAGGAAACUGGGGCUAAUACCGGAUAGGAGCUCCUGCUGCAUGGUGGGGGUUGGAAAGUUUCGGCGGUUGGGGAUGGACUCGCGGCUUAUCAGCUUGUUGGUUGGGUAGUGGCUUACCCAGGCGUUGACGGGUAGCCGGCCUGGGGGGGUGCCCGGUAACAUUGGAACUAUGUUACGGACCAGUCUCCUACGGGAGACAGCAGUCGGGAAUAUUGCACAGCGGGCUCACGCCUGAGGCAGCAACGCCGCGUGCGGGAUGACGGCCUUCGGGUUGUAAACCGCUUUCGCCUGUGACGAAGCGUGAGUGACGGUAAUGGGUAAAGAAGCACCGGCUAACUACGUG